AUUGAACGCUGGCGGCAUGCUCUACACAUGCAAGUCGAACGGUAACAGGCCGCAAGGUGCUGACGAGUGGCGAACGGGUGAGUAAUGCAUCGGAACGUGCCCAGUCGUGGGGGAUAACUACUCGAAAGAGUAGCUAAUACCGCAUACGAUCUAUGGAUGAAAGCGGGGGACCGUAAGGCCUCGCGCGAUUGGAGCGGCCGAUGUCAGAUUAGGUAGUUGGUGGGGUAAAGGCUCACCAAGCCAACGAUCUGUAGCUGGUCUGAGAGGACGACCAGCCACACUGGAACUGAGACACGGCCCAGACUCCUACGGGAGGCAGCAGUGGGGAAUUUUGGACAAUGGGCGCAAGCCUGAUCCAGCAAUGCCGCGUGCAGGAAGAAGGCCUUCGGGUUGUAAACUGCUUUUGUACGGAACGAAACGGCUCUGGUUAAUACCCGGGGCUAAUGACGGUACCGUAAGAAUAAGCACCGGCUAACUACGUG
rnacentral:rRNA from 1 species